rnacentral:rRNA from 1 species
GAUGAACGCUAGCUACAGGCUUAACACAUGCAAGUCGAGGGGCAGCGGGAUUGAAGCUUGCUUCAAUUGCCGGCGACCGGCGCACGGGUGAGUAACGCGUAUCCAACCUUCCGUACACUCAGGGAUAGCCUUUCGAAAGAAAGAUUAAUACCUGAUGGUAUGAUGAGAUCGCAUGGUAUCAUCAUUAAAGAUUUAUCGGUGUACGAUGGGGAUGCGUUCCAUUAGGUAGUAGGCGGGGUAACGGCCCACCUAGCCUACGAUGGAUAGGGGUUCUGAGAGGAAGGUCCCCCANAUUGGAACUGAGACACGGUCCAAACUCCUACGGGAGGCAGCAGUGAGGAAUAUUGGUCAAUGGACGAGAGUCUGAACCAGCCAAGUAGCGUGCAGGAUGACGGCCCUAUGGGUUGUAAACUGCUUUUAUAAGGGAAUAAAGUGGGAGUCGUGACUCUUUUUGCAUGUACCUUAUGAAUAAGGACCGGCUAAUUCCGUGCCAGCA